GAGGGUGAUCGGCCACAUUGGAACUGAGACACGGUCCAAACUCCUACGGGAGGCAGCAGUGGGGAAUAUUGCACAAUGGGCGAAAGCCUGAUGCAGCAACGCCGCGUGAGUGAUGAAGGCCUUCGGGUCGUAAAACUCUGUCCUCAAGGAAGAUAAUGACGGUACUUGAGGAGGAAGCCCCGGCUAACUACGUGCCAGCAGCCGCGGUAAUACGUAGGGGGCUAGCGUUAUCCGGAUUUACUGGGCGUAAAGGGUGCGUAGGCGGUCUUUCAAGUCAGGAGUGAAAGGCUACGGCUCAACCGGAGUAAGCUCUUGAAACUGGGAGACUUGAGUGCAGGAGAGGAGAGUGGAAUUCCUAGUGUAGCGGUGAAAUGCGUAGAUAUUAGGAGGAACACCAGUUGCGAAGGCGGCUCUCUGGACUGUAACUGACGCUGAGGCACGAAAGCGUGGGGAGCAAACAGGAUUAGAUACCCUG
rnacentral:rRNA from 1 species